ensembl:lncRNA
CCCCCACUUUCCUUUUCUCCAAAUUCAGACUCAUCAUAUAGGUAAGGUUAAUUUGACAUCCAGUACAGUAGGUGGCUCCUAAGGAGUUAGUCACCAGUAAACCAACAAGAAGAAGGAUUAAUUGUGCACACCUGUUUUUGGUCAUUCCUGUUCUGGUUACAUCAUUAUACCAGUGGAUGGCAACAAGCGACAUGCUGUUUUUGUGCCACAGUUUUAGGUGAGGAGGGGAUCAUCACUGGGUCACAAAAGAUAGAAGCAGAUGAUGACAGAGAGAGAGAUUCGUAGCAGAAAUUAUUCACAUGGCAUUAACGGCGUAGGUGGUUGUCUCAAAACAACCUGCCAGCAAAACUGAACACCCAUGAGCAAAGAUGGUGGAUUUCAAUUGGGUGAUACUGCGCCAGCCAAGCAACUGCCACUGAGAUGAAAUGUGAAUGCUAACUGAUAGCUUUCAUCAGGAUUUGAGCUAAACUUAAUGAUCCAAGGCAAACAUCUAAUCCACUGUGCUGCGGAGUGGUACAUGUGACAAAUGCACCCGGUGGAGAAGACGAGCAGUGCCACAACUCAUGCCACACGUCUGAUCCCUGCCCAUGUCUCUCCAACACUAAUGGCAUUACACUGCCUCCUCCUUUAGUGGCGUUCAUCCUUUGCCAUUUAUCUUUGCAUGAUGCACGAUGUACGUUAGUUGGCCUAUUAAUACUAAAUGCCAGCUUGUCACGCACAUCAGGGAGAAAAGUUGACUCUCAAACUUUAAAUAAGAAGUAUUUUUCUUCUUUUCUUUAUAUAUAUAGGAAGGAAGAGGAAGACAUUUUUGAACUACUGGGAAAAAAAUAAUACUCGGAGUACCCAGAACGUUAUCAGAUAUCAGGAGGCUGGUACUACUGCUUCUCAAAAGUAUCCAGGUUGUUUUUAUCCAAUCGCCUGAGCCAUAAAUUUGACAAAAUAUGACAUUAUAGCAAUGCGAAUUGGCUCAUGGCACCCCAAGAAUGUUUCAAGACCUUUUUAAAAGUUAAAAAAAAAAUGAUUCUUUGCUAAAUAUUUGCUCUAUACUUAUUGCAUCAUAUUACAAUUUGUGUGUGUGUAUAUAAUUAUAUAAAAAAAGUCUCUAAAGAAAAAUGUCAUGUAUUGCUGAUUGUCAGACACAUUUGAUGAAUGAAAACAGAGCUCUGUUGCACUUGUAGUUUCAAGUGUUUUAUUAUUUUUCUUUCGCUUCCUUUCCCUUUCUGUCUGGUUAACCCUACAAUAUGUGUUCAGAUGUGAUUUAAUAAGUGGAGAGGUCCCACGGGCGGCCUCGCAUUGAGUUUUCCUGUGGGUCCUUUCUGUGUGUAUGACUCUGCAGUGGCAGGGGGGCUCCCUGGCCCAGAUUAAUUACCCCCCUCUAAUUGGUUUAGUGUCUCACAGCUGGGCCAUGCAGACAGCACACUGAAACAUCCAGUUAAAUGAUGCCCAUCCGUCAUCGCUGGCUAUUAGAGCUGGGAACUGGGACCCAAGUGGUCUGUUUUCCAUAUAUUAGUAAACAUUGCAGCUGAGACUUUUCUGUAAGAAUUAAUAAGACAAUGCCAAACUACUUAAUAAAGAAUUUCAAG